CCCACACAGACAGACAGACAGACAGACACACAUUCCCCCCACCCCCGGGAGCCAUGCAGGCCGAGUACCUGCACCAAUUCCUCGACCACGUGGCCGGUAACGGCCUGGUGCUGAGCCCCGAGAAGAGGGCCACGCUGCAGGUCUCCCUGGAGAUCGUCAAGAGGAACUACAAGUUCAGCCGGGUCUACUUCUGGGGCAAGAUCAUGGGCCUGACCGCCGACUACUUCGUCGUGCAGGGGGUGCAGGCGGACGAGCUGAGGGACAGGAAGAGCCUGUACAGUUUGAACUGCAUAGAUUGGAAAUUACUUCCUCCAGCCACAGAUGAGAUGAUAGAGAAGUCCAUGCGGGUUAAAGGUCGUUUCAUGGGUGACCCUUCUCAUGAGUACGACACCAAAACAAUUAAGAAUAGUGAUGAAGAUGUGGUCAGUCUGGAGUUGAAGGUAAAAGAGGAAGAACGCUUGACAGCUACAAUUGAACAAAUAAACAGAGAAGCAGCAAUAAUUCCCAGGGGCGCUUUUAUCAAGACACCUCUUGAACAAAUCCACAAGAACAGAAGUUUUGAAGGUUUGUCAGUGACCGAGGCUGGGAAGUUGCAAUCCUACCUUCACUUCACUGAGCCUUCCACACUGAAGAAGAAGUCACUGCUAUUGCAAGCCAAUCUGGAGGAAUCAAUUGACUUUCUCAAUUCUGUUGAUGAUGAUGAAAUGAAAGGACACUACUGUAAGGUUUGCUGCACUCCAGAGAGGCAUGGACCUUGAAGAGGCAGUUGCCCUAGAUCACUAAAGUUCGUAUGAGGAUGAGGAGAAAGAUAAGAGGAUGGUGCCGAUUCUAUGGAGGGAGACGAGUGGGGCUUGGUCAGGAGUCCAAGCUGUCAUCAUGGUGCUUUGAAGAACAGAAUACAUCCAAUCCACCUGAGUUUCAAUGUUCUGGAGUCUGCAGUAUGAGAGGGGCAGCAAGCUGGUCAUUCUUCGAAACCUGUUAUGGCUCGGCUUUACUUUCUUCCACGUACCAGAAACUUCUCAGUACGGUUGCGUCUAC